rnacentral:rRNA from 1 species
GAUGAACGCUGGCGGCGUGCUUAACACAUGCAAGUCGAACGGAAAGGCUCCUGCUUGCCGGGGUACUCGAGUGGCGAACGGGUGAGUAACACGUGGGUGAUCUGCCCUGCACUUCGGGAUAAGCCUGGGAAACUGGGUCUAAUACCGGAUAGGACCACAUUUUGGAUGGUGUGGUGGAAAGUUUUUCGGUGUGGGAUGAGCUCGCGGCCUAUCAGCUUGUUGGUGGGGUAAUGGCCUACCAAGGCGUCGACGGGUAGCCGGCCUGAGAGGGUGUACGGCCACACUGGGACUGGGAGACAGCCCAGACUCGUACGGGAGGCAGCAGUGGGGAAUAUUGCACAAUGGGCGCAAGCCUGAUGCAGCGACGCCGCGUGGGGGAUGACGGCCUUCGGGUGGUAAACACCUUUCGCUAGGGACGAAGCGUUUUUGUGACGGUACCUGGAGAAGAAGCACCGGCUAACUACGUG